rnacentral:misc_RNA from 1 species
AGCAAAAUCCCCCGUCCCUGGCACUUCGUUAUAAGCGUGUUUUACUGUACAGAGUGUGCGUUAAUUACACAACAUUGUUACGUCCGUCCGUCCUGAUCCAAUGUUGCCGAUGUAAGGUUUUGUGGCAGCAAAUCGAUUACGUGAAAUCCAUUUGAGUCGAAUUACACAUUUCUAGAUUACUGUAACACGAUUUUUUGUUAGGUUCUCUUUUCUUAUUGUUCGUGUUCAGUUAAUAUUUAAAAUUAUGCCCUGAUCCAAUACAUAUUCUACCAUUUGCUUCGCAUUUGCUUUGCUUGCUGUUUAUACAUGUACGUUAUGCCUUUUUCACUUAACAACUUAAAUAAUUCAUAUUCAGUUUCCGAACAAAGAUGGAUUAAUGUGUUCAAAUGUAUAAAUAAAAACGGUUAGGUUAGGUUCAUGUUUUACGUGACUUUGUGAGCCAUUUGUAUUGUUAUUCUCAUCUUAGUAAUGUCACAGUUGCGUUUGAGAAAACAAGAUUUUCUCGAAUGAUAGAUCAAAUUAUAUUUAUACGAUUAUAUACCGAUAUAUACCAAUAAAACAAUUCAAGC